UACGUAGGGGGCAAGCGUUGUCCGGAAUUAUUGGGCGUAAAGAGCGUGUAGGCGGUCCGGUAAGUCAGCUGUGAAAGUCAAGGGCUCAACCCUUGAAUGCCGGUUGAUACUGUCGGGCUAGAGUCCGGAAGAGGCGAGUGGAAUUCCCGGUGUAGCGGUGAAAUGCGCAGAUAUCGGGAGGAACACCAAUGGCGAAGGCAGCUCGCUGGGACGGGACUGACGCUGAGACGCGAAAGCGUGGGGAGCAAACAGG
rnacentral:rRNA from 1 species